rnacentral:tRNA from 1 species
GGGCCGUUAGCUCAGUUGGUAGAGCACCUGACUUUUAAUCAGGGUGUCACAGGUUCGAGACCUGUACGGCCUAC